rnacentral:rRNA from 1 species
CCCUUAGAUGUUAUGGGCCGCACGCGCGCUACACUGAUGCAUUCAACGAGUUUCUUCCUGGUCCGAGAGGAAUGGGUAACCUUUUGAAAGUGCAUCGUGAUAGGGAUAGACUAUUGCAAUUAUUGGUCUUCAACGAGGAAUUCCUAGUAGACGUAGUUCAUCAGACUGCAUCGAUUACGUCCCUGCCCUUUGUACACACCGCCCGUCGCUCCUACCGAUUGAAUGCUCAGGUGAGCCAUUCGGACUUUCAUCAUGCUGGUUUCCAGUUUUGAUGAAGGAAAGUCUUGCGAACCUUAUCAUUUAGAGGAAGGAGAAGUCGUAACA